rnacentral:rRNA from 1 species
CAAGUCGAACGAGAAUGUGUAGCAAUACACAUGUACAGUGGCGAACGGGUGAGGAAUACAUGGGUAACCUACCCUCGAGUGGGGAAUAACUAGCCGAAAGGUUAGCUAAUACCGCGUACGCUUCCCGGACUGCGGUUCGGGAAGGAAAGCGAUACCGUGGGUAUCGCGCUCUUGGAUGGGCUCAUGCCCUAUCAGCUUGUUGGUGAGGUAACGGCUCACCAAGGCUUCGACGGGUAGCUGAUCUGAGAGGAUGAUCAGCCACACUGGCACUGCGACACGGGCCAGACUCCUACGGGAGGCAGCAGUAAGGAAUAUUGCGCAAUGGGCGAAAGCCUGACGCAGCGACGCCGCGUGGGGGAUGAAGGUCUUCGGAUUGUAAACCCCUUUCGGGAGGGA